GCACUUUGUCUCAAGGUCGCUGCCAACAUCUCCCUCCUGCAACACCAAGAGAUGUCCAAACCAGAAAUUCAUCUCCAUGUAUCGGGAUUACAAGGAUUAUAUAUAUCAGACAAUGCAGACCAAAAGUAUGUGGUUCUUUUUCUUCCGUGAUUUUCUCUCUCAUUUGAUUCUGGAUCAGGAGAAGUUACAAUGCUGGAUAUGACAGUUGGCCUUCCGCUCUAGCAAAGCUGAAUUAUAUAUCAUGAAUGGCUUAUGAUCAUCUCAAUUUUCAAACUUGUCUGAAAGUUAAGAGGUUUUUUUAAUAGAUUAUAUCUCGAUUGUGAGCUUGUUAUCAGUUCUUACAGAAACAUGCCGGUUGUGUAGGGCCUAAUUUUGUGUAUUCAGCACAUUGGCAUCUCUCAUUUUUCUCUCCAUGUCUACAUGUUGUACAUGAGGCAGUAAUUGUAAUCAUGUUAGCAGAUGGGAACUGAGUACCGUAUACAUUCACCAAACAAAGGGAGUUUAUGGAGGGAUAAGAGAGCUAGAAGUUGAGACAAAGUUCAUAAGUGGUUUCCAUUUUCAAGAAAAUGUUUGUGAACUGCCGUGGGUUACCUGUUUAAAAAGAUUAUGUUCAUCUGUGACAAAUGCUCAAAUCCAGAAUGAGAUUAGAUGCCGUCUCUAUGUAGAUAUACAGUUGGGAUUUGAAGUAUAUAACAAUGCAGUUUAAAAACCAGGUUAAAAUCUUUGCCUUUCCUGAACUCCUCAUAGCAGAUUUCUUUUUAAACUGUGUGUUUACAUUGAAUAUAAAAAACCAAAAGACUAAUAGAACUAGGUCAGGCGGUCACAUUAUGUCCUGUAGUAAUGGAUUAGUGUGUGAUAUUUUUGCAAGUAUUAAUAUGAGAUAAAUACCACCUACAAGUACCUAUCACAAAGCACUGGCUUCUAUUAACAAAAAUUGCCAACUUCACUUGUCUUCUGUAUCUGUAUCUCUGAUAUUGUGUUGGAUAGAAAAAGAAUAAAAACCGUUUCCUG
rnacentral:sRNA from 1 species